rnacentral:RNase_P_RNA from 1 species
CCAGACAGCCGGAUGGCCGCUGCCGCUCGCAAGAGAGGGAGAGGAAAGUCCGGGCUCCAGACGAAAGGAUGCCGGAUAACGUCCGGCAAGGGCGACCUUAGGGACAGUGCCACAGAAAACAAACCGCCACGCUUGGCGUGGUAAGGGUGAAACGGCGUGGUAAGAGCACACCGCGCUUACGGUAACGCAAGCGGCAAGGCAAACCCCAUCCGGAGCAAGAUCGCAUAGGAACCACACUUCACCGCAAGGUGAAACCGUUUUCGUCACGGCGAUGGUUCGGGUUGAUUGCUUGAGACGCAUGGUAACAUGCGCCCUAGAUGAAUGGUCAUCCGCAGCAGUUUACUGUUGCGACAGAACCCGGCUUACAGGCUGUCUGGUACC